rnacentral:sRNA from 1 species
CUCUUGGAGCCCCCUCCUAACCAGUGGCCCGUGGGUGUCCCCUACCCCAGGAUGUGAGUCUCUUUAACCUGUAAUGCUGUGGCUAGCCCUUGGCCCCUUUCCUGCCAUGGAGAACCAGGUGCUGGUAAUUCGCAUCAAGAUCCCAAAUAGUGGCGCGGUGGACUGGACAGUGCACUCCGGGCCGCAGUUACUCUUCAGGGAUGUGCUGGAUGUGAUAGGCCAGGUUCUGCCUGAAGCAACAACUACAGCAUUUGAAUAUGAAGAUGAAGAUGGUGAUCGAAUUACAGUGAGAAGUGAUGAGGAAAUGAAGGCAAUGCUGUCAUAUUAUUAUUCCACAGUAAUGGAACAGCAAGUAAAUGGACAGUUAAUAGAGCCUCUGCAGAUAUUUCCAAGAGCCUGCAAGCCUCCUGGGGAACGGAACAUACAUGGCCUGAAGGUGAAUACUCGGGCCGGACCCUCUCAACACAGCAGCCCAGCAGUCUCAGAUUCACUUCCAAGCAAUAGCUUAAAGAAGUCUUCUGCUGAACUGAAAAAAAUAUUAGCCAAUGGCCAGAUGAAUGAACAAGACAUACGAUAUCGGGACACUCUUGGUCAUGGCAACGGAGGCACAGUCUACAAAGCAUAUCAUGUCCCGAGUGGGAAAAUAUUAGCUGUAAAGGUCAUACUACUAGAUAUUACACUGGAACUUCAGAAGCAAAUUAUGUCUGAAUUGGAAAUUCUUUAUAAGUGUGAUUCAUCAUAUAUCAUUGGAUUUUAUGGAGCAUUUUUUGUAGAAAACAGGAUUUCAAUAUGUACAGAAUUCAUGGAUGGGGGAUCUUUGGAUGUAUAUAGGAAAAUGCCAGAACAUGUCCUUGGAAGAAUUGCAGUAGCAACCAGCCCACCCACCAUGACAACAUAGUCACACGCUUAUGUGCUCCAACCUGUUCUAGUUUCAUGUGUUUGCAGGGACCUUGGUGUUCUUGUUGACUCGUAAAAUUCCCAACUUCUUCUUAAAAAAAAAAUGCUUUUUUUUGUUUUGUUUUUACAUUUUGUAGUUAUGAUUAGCAUAUGAUUAGCAAAUACUUAAAAAGUCUGAGUUGUUAAAGCAGUCUAUGAGAAAAUAUUAAUUUGUUAAGAACAAAGUAGUAUUAGUAAAGAUUUUUUGCAGUCUUUUUAUGUUCUUGGUUUUUAAUUUUUUCAUCAACUACAUCUAGAAAUUUAUUCCCUUUGUGAUUUAAAGCAGUUUUCCCAUAUUCUUGUGUUUUCUCUAUGCACUAAUAUACUGAUGAAAUAUAUAAACUAAACAUUACUAUAAUGUUCUCAUAAGUUCCAUAUUUCACAUUUAUAAUAAUGUAGGUUAAACAGUGUCUAAGAGAAGUCAUGGGGUGGUGUAAUAGUAAACAAUUGCUAAACUAAAGGCACUAUGUUAACUUCAGUGGUUUAAUGCAGAACAAAGUGAUUGUACCAUGUACCAU